rnacentral:rRNA from 1 species
GCAGUGGCUAACUCUGUGCCAGCAGCCGCGGUAAUACAGAGACUGCAAGCGUUAUUCGGAUUCAACUGGGCGUAAAGGGUGCGCAGGCGGCCUUGGUGUGUGAAGUGUGAAAGCCCGGGGCUUAACCCCGGAAUUGCACCUCAAACUAUAAGGCUAGAGCAUUGGAGAGGGUAGCAGAAUUCACGGUGUAGCAGUGAAAUGCGUAGAUAUCGUGAGGAAUACCAGAGGCGAAGGCGGCUACCUGGACAAUUGCUGACGCUCAGGCACGAAAGCGUGGGGAGCAAAAGGGAUUAGAUACCCCUGUAGUCCACGCCCUAAACGGUGCACACUAGGUCUUGGCGGAUUCGACCCCCCAGGGCCCCAGCUAACGCGUUAAGUGUGCCGCCUGAGGACUACGGCCGCAAGGCUAAAACUCAAAGGAAUUGACGGGGGC